CCUACGGGUGGCAGCAGUGAGGAAUAUUGGUCAAUGGGCGCGAGCCUGAACCAGCCAAGUAGCGUGAAGGAUGACUGCCCUACGGGUUGUAAACUUCUUUUGUACAGGAGUAAAGUGAGGCACGUGUGCCUUUUUGUAUGUACUUUAUGAAUAAGGAUCGGCUAACUCCGUGCCAGCAGCCGCGGUAAUACGGAGGAUCCGAGCGUUAUCCGGAUUUAUUGGGUUUAAAGGGUGCGUAGGUGGGGUGUUAAGUCAGGUGUGAAAGUUUGCGGCUCAACCGUAAAAUUGCAAUUGAUACUGGUAGUCUUGAGAGCAGUUGAGGUAGGCGGAAUGCGUGGUGUAGCGGUGAAAUGCUUAGAGAUCACGAAGAACUCCGAUUGCGAAGGCAGCUUACUAAACUACCACUGACGUUGAGGCACGAAAGCGUGGGUAUCAAACAGGAUUAGAUACCCUGGUAGUC
rnacentral:rRNA from 1 species